UUAACGGAGAGUUUGAUUCUGGCUCAGAACGAACGCUGGCGGCGUGGAUAAGACAUGCAAGUCGAACGCGACUUAUCGGGUUAGCAAUAACUCGGUAAGUUGAGUGGCGAAAGGGUGCGUAACACGUGGGAAUUUACCAAGAAGUGGGGAAUAGCUCGACGAAAGUCGAAUUAAUACCGCAUAUGAUCGCAAGAUCAAAGCCGGGGACCGCAAGGCCUGGCGCUUUUUGAGAAGCCCGCGGCCCAUCAGCUAGUUGGCGGGGUAACGGCCCACCAAGGCUAUGACGGGUAGCUGGUCUGAGAGGACGACCAGCCACACUGGAACUGAGACACGGUCCAGACACCUACGGGUGGCAGCAGUCGAGAAU
rnacentral:rRNA from 1 species